rnacentral:rRNA from 1 species
CCUACGGGUGGCUGCAGUGGGGAAUAUUGCACAAUGGGCGCAAGCCUGAUGCAGCUAUGCCGCGUGUGUGAAGAAGGCCUUCGGGUUGUAAAGCACUUUCAGCGGGGAGGAAGGCGGUGAGGUUAAUAACCUCAUCGAUUGACGUUACCCGCAGAAGAAGCACCGGCUAACUCCGUGCCAGCAGCCGCGGUAAUACGGAGGGUGCGAGCGUUAAUCGGAAUUACUGGGCGUAAAGCGCACGCAGGCGGUCUGUCAAGUCGGAUGUGAAAUCCCCGGGCUCAACCUGGGAACUGCAUUCGAAACUGGCAGGCUAGAGUCUUGUAGAGGGGGGUAGAAUUCCAGGUGUAGCGGUGAAAUGCGUAGAGAUCUGGAGGAAUACCGGUGGCGAAGGCGGCCCCCUGGACAAAGACUGACGCUCAGGUGCGAAAGCGUGGGGAGCAAACAGGAUUAGAUACCCGUGUAGUC